rnacentral:tRNA from 1 species
GUCUCGGUAGUGUAAGGGAUAAGAGCACGGUCCCCGAAAAUGCGGGUUCGAGUCCCGUCUGAGACU